rnacentral:rRNA from 1 species
GAUCCUGGCUCAGGAUGAACGCUAGCGACAGGCUUAACACAUGCAAGUCGAGGGGCAGCGGGGAGUAGCAAUACUUCGCCGGCGACCGGCGCACGGGUGAGUAACACGUGUGCAACCAACCCCCGUACCGGGAGAUAACCCGCGGAAACGUGGACUAACAUCCCAUGAUACUCGAGAGCCGCAUGGCUCUCGAUUUAAAAUUCCGGUGGUACGGGACGGGCACGCGCGACAUUAGGUAGUUGGCGGGGUAACGGCCCACCAAG